rnacentral:rRNA from 1 species
CAUGUAGGCGAAUUAAUAAGUUUGAAGUGAAAUCCUAUAGCUUAACUAUAGAACUGCUUUGAAAACUGUUAAUCUAGAAUGUGGGAGAGGUAGAUGGAAUUUCUGGUGUAGGGUAAAUCCGUAGAGAUCAGAAGGAAUACCGAUUGCGAAGGCGAUCUACUGGAACAUUAUUGACGCUGAGAUGCGAAAGCGUGGGGAGCAAACA